rnacentral:lncRNA from 1 species
GUGGACUUCCGGAUCGUUCUUAGGGAUUUUGCCCAAACUUCGGUGAAGGCAAGUAAAACUGUGAUGGUUAUUCCGUCUGUCAGAUGAGGAAUCUUAUACUUGUUUAUGUUGUGCUAUCAUGUUCAAAUUCAUAUUUUCUUUUGAGUACCAUCAUUUGAAAAUGUUCAUGUUUCAUGGAUUUCGUAUGUUGAGUUUGAGGUUUGAUUAUGUUACUCAAGUGGUUAUUAUGUGAAUGGUUGGAAGUAAAUGCCUAGCACAUUUUUAUUUGGGAAGAACUUAUGAUGUUGUCAUGCAUAAUGCACUCAUCAUCCAUUGCAUUGAAGUUUCGUCGCGAUCUUAUGGUCCGACCGUACCGGUACAUUGAGCAUCAUAUGUUGCCCGAGAAGGGGUAUGGUGCAGCUUCAUAUCCUUAGAGAUAUGGAGGCAGAAGUCAUUAUUGCAUUUGUAGCCAUGUGCAUUCAUGGGAGAGGUGUUGAAUCUAUUAUGUGGAUGUGGAUAAUUUGGACUUGUGCAUGGUGAUUCUACUUGGCGUUGAGCUUUUAGUUACUUGUUUACUUGCUGCAAUUUACUGUUCAAAAGAAAAGAAAGAAGUCAUGAACACGUGGUUGUGUAAGCACAGUUGAUUUACAAUGUCCUAUUUGUUGUUGUUAUGUUUACUUGCUGAGAUGUGUUAUCUCACAUCUUGCAUUGUUUUAUGCAGGCACCUAAUUUCUGAUUUGGGAAUAGAGGGAUGUAGCAGCACGGCCACUACACCUUUAAUAAAGGAACCACCAUUUAAUAAUGUUGUUAAUCAGAGUUGGACAAGUCUAGUGAAUUGCUUUGUUCUUGGUUGAGCGUUUAUUUUGGGGUGGGCUGAGUUUCUUAUCCCAUUUGUUUUGCUUCAGUUGGGUCAUAAUUAAGUUUUACCACUUUUGCAUUUCAGUUUCUACUAUGUGAAUUAUAUGUCUUUAUAUCUUGUAUGAGCUUCAUGUUUCCCCUCCUUGUUAUGCUAGUUUUCAAAGGAGGUGCUGCCGGAUUUUGCUAU